GUUUAGAACGGGUCACGUGAGCGCCUCGCCUGGAUGUGAGUUUCAGCCAGGUCUGUGAAGGGGGUUUAAGAAGGUGAGGGCGGGAUAAACCUUUAUUAGUUGUUUUCUGUUUAUCACAGGUAUAGAGACAACAUUACCCAAGAGGUCAUGGUAGAAUCAACAGCUUGUUUUGUUUUCCUUAAACCGGGACCAAAAAUAAUUCCCCUCUGGUUGGUUCAGUGGCUUAUCAACUCUGGUACUUGGGGCAAGAAGAGUGAGAGUAUCGCACGAUCUUCUAAGGCAGCCUUGAAUACUGUGGCUCACAUAACAAUCUCCUGAAAUGGUUCCUUGAAGCUACCAAAUAGUCUUUCUGCUUUGCAGUGGGGUUUCUAGUAUUGGAAAUUCUGGGCAAACAUUAAAGGAUGUUAUAUUA